CACGGGAAUUGGCCCUUGACACUGGGUGGGGACUGGGAGAGCUGACGUGUGCUGCCCUUGGGCUCCAGCUGUGUGCUCUCUGGAGCCAGGCAACCUGCCGUCAGUAGAUUCAAUGUCCAUUCCCUGUUGAAAACUCUCUAAAAAUUAGCCGAAGUUAAAGGCCUGACUUAGCUUUCCUCUCUGUUUACUUGAUUACUGAUUUGUAAACCUACAAAGCGAACAGCCUGUCGAUAAAUAACCCAGAAUCAACUGUCUCAACAUUUGUUCAUUCAUCGUUGACAAACACCUACUGAGCCUCUGCUGUGUGCUUGGUUCCAUGGAGCAAAACGUGCGUUACGAUGCCACAGACCUGCCCUCAGAGAGCUUCCGCACAAGGAGGGUGGUGUACAAAAGCAGACGGGCAAGCACAGUCCCCAGGGCAGUGACUCAGGUCGGAUGAGAGCUCCUAGGCGGAGGGAAUCAGGGGGAGAGCUGGGUGUGACCUGCAGGAGACAGAACUGGAGCUGGGCUCAGGGGCACAUGGGAGUUGGGAAGGGCACCUCAGGGCCCCUGCUGACCACCUACUGGGCUGAUAGGACUGGAGCCCGCUGAGAACAGGCGUGGGGAAGGAGGGCAUGCAGUGUGUUGGGACCCCAACCUCUUAACUCUUAAACCUUCAGCCUUGCACUGAAAGCACCAUUUUCCCACACGUGAAAACUCUGGGUCAAGUGUGUGCGAAUCACCUGUGUCGGUGCUAGAAAAGGGGAGGGCUGCGGCGUAGGGAGAGACAAAGGGGGCCGGGGAGCAGCCGAGCCAGUGUAGAGCUUCUGUGGUGUGACAUGAGUGAGAAAGCGAGAAAUGACGAUGUGAGAACUUUUGUGAAAGGGCUGAGACUUAGCCCUGGACCCUGCUGGGACCAGAAGGGCGAGUCUGGGAUUCCAAACCAUGAAAUGAGAAAUACAUUGAACAUUUUGGUGAAAGAUGUGGAGGGUCUUUGGAGGGUAGAACUGACUCUGCACCUAAUGGUUACCUUGGGGUUGAAAUCCUGGCUUGGCCUUUCCUAGAUCUGCAACACUAAGCAAGACGUCAACAACUCUGAGCCUCAGUUAACUUAGUAGAAUUGGAAAUAACAUCCACAGGGCAGCGACAGUGACCAGGGAACACUUAAUUCAAGAAAGCUGUUAUUGCAGGUGUGACGGGCUGGGGUCUGACUUCCGCAGACGGCCUGGUCCUUGCCGCCUCACGUUUAGUCCCCCGGGAAUAUGAACAGCUUCGGAUUUCUGCCUCUGCAGGAGGGGAGGCCAGAGGAAGGACCGGCAGGAGCUGGAGGUCCCGUCUGGAUGCUAAGGAGUGCAGCAGGAGGAGGCGAGAGCCCGGUUUUAAACGGCCACGACAGCAGUCGCAUGGGAGAACUGUGAAAUGUCAGGAACGGGUUCUAAAUAGGACGUGACAGUGGAUUCCUCACGCUGGCUCAGUGCAGAAGCUGGUUCAAGAGCCUGCUGAGCUGGGCAUCCAGGCAGGCAAAGGGGAGGCCGCUGAAGCCAUUUGGUCAUGAAGCAGUUAGGGUUUGGCCCCAGAAAGCAAGCUAACCUCUUCUGUGACAUCAAGUUGGCAGGCUGGGACCCGGAUGUACGGAGUCUUAUUUGAUAAACAUUUCUCUUAAAGUGAGCCCAGGAUGGUCCUAAAUGCACUUUAUAGCAGCCCAGGGGCACAGGGACAGAGAAGCAGAGGGGGCAGGGCAGAGCAGCCGCCCGGGCACAGCUGCGGACAGAGCUGGGACUUGAGCCCAGCAGCGCAGCUCCCGCGGGGAGUAGCUGGUCAGGGCGCACACCCCCUGUUCACACUCCACUUUAAUCUCCCAUUUUCUGAUGAAAACACAUCAGACCGGCGACUUUCUGCCAGAGAAGAGGCAUUCUAUGUGGGCAUCCAAUACUCCCCAGAUUUGCCUGAGAAGCACUGCGUUUGAGGCAAUUAUAAAGUAGCCCUACUAAGCGCGUAACACACUACGUCUCAAUUUCCACUAACAUUGGGAGAUAUCACUCUGCCCAGGUCAGAGAAGCCAGGGACACGGGAGAACAAGGUGACAGAGGCUACUCAGUGAGUGAGUGGCGAGGUAGGCCCCUGCCCCCAGAGUCCCUCCCAGCUGCUGACGCUGCUCUGUCUCCGGCACUGAAGCUGCAGGGCACGGGCCGUGCGCCCCACUCCCUCCG